rnacentral:rRNA from 1 species
GACGAACGCUGGCGGCGUGCUUAACACAUGCAAGUCGAACGGAAAGGCCCUGCUUUUGUGGGGUGCUCGAGUGGCGAACGGGUGAGUAACACGUGAGUAACCUGCCCUUGACUUUGGGAUAACUUCAGGAAACUGGGGCUAAUACCGGAUAGGAGCUCCUGCUGCAUGGUGGGGGUUGGAAAGUUUCGGCGGUUGGGGAUGGACUCGCGGCUUAUCAGCUUGUUGGUGGGGUAGUGGCUUACCAAGGCUUUGACGGGUAGCCGGCCUGAGAGGGUGACCAGCCACAUUGGGACUGAGAUACGACCCAGACUCCUACGGGAGGCAGCAGUGGGGAGUAUGGCACAAUGGGCGGAAGCCUGAUGCAGCGACGCCGCGUGCGGAAUGACGGCCUUCGGGUUGUAAACCGCUUUCGCCUGUGACGAAGCGUGAGUGACGGUAAUAGGUAAAGAAGCACCGGCUAACUACGUG